CAAUACAGAGUAUUCCUACCUAUCCAAAGAAUUCCUUCUCGUUAAACCAUUUGUGGUUUAUUCUGUCAUGACCUGGUAAAGGUGUAUAGUACUGUCAUGACCUGGUAAAGGUGUAUAGUACUGUCAUGACCUGGUAAAGGUGUAUAGUACUGUCAUGACCUGGUAAAGGUGUAUAAUACUGUCAUGACCUGGUAAAGGUGUAUAGUACUGUCAUGACCUGGUAAAGGUGUAUAAUACUGUCAUGACCUGGUAAAGGUGUAUAGUACUGUCAUGACCUGGUAAAGGUGUAUAAUACUGUCAUGACCUGGUAAAGGUGUAUAAUACUGUCAUGACCUGGUAAAGGUGUAUAGUACUGUCAUGACCUGGUAAAGGUGUAUAAUACUGUCAUGACCUGGUAAAGGUGUAUAAUACUGUCAUGACCUGGUAAAGGUGUAUAGUACUGUCAUGACCUGGUAAAGGUGUAUAAUACUGUCAUGACCUGGUAAAGGUGUAUAGUACUGUCAUGACCUGGUAAAGGUGUAUAAUACUGUCAUGACCUGGUAAAUGUGUAUACUACUGUCAUGACCUGGUAAAGGUGUAUAAUACUGUCAUGACCUGGUAAAGGUGUAUAGUACUGUCAUGACCUGGUAAAGGUGUAUAGUGCUGUCUUGACCUGGUAAAGGUGUAUAGUACUGUCAUGACCUGGUAAAGGUGUAUAAUACUGUCAUGACCUGGUAAAGGUGUAUAGUACUGUCAUGACCUGAUAAAGGUGUAUAAUACUGUCAUGACCUGGUAAAGGUGUAUAGUACUGUCAUGACCUGGUAAAGGUGUAUAAUACUGUCAUGACCUGGUAAAGGUGUAUAAUACUGUCAUGACCUGGUAAAGGUGUAUAGUACUGUCAUGACCUGGUAAAGGUGUAUAGUACUGUCAUGACCUGGUAAAGGUGUAUAAUACUGUCAUGACCUGGUAAAGGUGUAUAGUACUGUCAUGACCUGGUAAAGGUGUAUAGUACUGUCAUGACCUGGUAAAGGUGUAUAGUACUGUCAUGACCUGGUAAAGGUGUAUACUACUGUCAUGACCUGGUAAAGGUGUAUAGUACUGUCAUGACCUGGUAAAGGUGUAUAGUACUGUCAUGACCUGGUAAAGGUGUAUAGUACUGUCAUGACCUGGUAAAGGUACUGUCAUGACCUGGUAAAGGUACUGUCAUGACCUGGUAAAAGUGUAUGUCGGGGCCACACAGUAAGUUGAAAGGAACAAUCUUCCCCUUGAAGUUGUCGAUAUAUUACCCAUCAGC